AGGUUGAAAGAUCAGUUGGCAGAGCAGUGCGUUGGUACCGCACUGUCCCGGGUUCAAGUCCCGGCCGACGCUA